ACCACCUCUAAGUAUACCACUUUUACCACCAAUCCUGUCAAGCUGCACAUUUUGUGAAAGUUGUGAUAAUACAAUUUCACCUGUAGGAAAUUAGGUUUUCUAUUCAUAGCAGGCAGUUCGCUCGCGGGAUAAUACCAACUCUCUCUAUAACACUUUUACAGAAAUGCACCACCUCUAAGUACAAUACUUUUACCGCCAAUCCGGUCAAGCUGCACGUUUUGUGAAAGUUGUGAUAAUAUAAUUUCA